rnacentral:rRNA from 1 species
ACUUACAUCUUCGCCCCACAGCAAGGGGAUAGAGUAAAACUAUUCCAUCUCCCCCUCUCGAGGUCGCCGCCUCCUCCGCCUCCGCUAACGAAGUCAAGUACCGCUAAGACUCGAGUAGGUGGCGUCCUAAAACUAAAGAAGAGGGAGAAGAGAAGCAAGCGGCCGACGGGACCAUCAUAGAGUUACCCAUCUCACGCCUUUCAGACAGCGUUCCUACAAGGGGAUCAAAGAAGUCAGCUCUCAUGACUAAGAAACUUUCUGGGAAUACACGGAUUACUAAAACGACUACUACCAAGAUUACGAUACAGAAACCCAACAAGACCACUACUACUUCUCAAACUAUUUCGUGAAAUGUUAAAGAUACACUUAUUAUUUCAGUUCAUGGAUUCCUCUUUUAAUAGUAGACGACCGUCUUCCUUACAACUUGAAAAGUUACAGUAGAAGUAGUUCUUUACUUAGUAGAAGAGGUUCCUUCCGUAACGAAAGUCCCGGUGGAGGGUUCCUAAUCGAAGGCGACGAUGGAGAACCAAACGAGCUAGCAGAAGUACGUAAAGAACGGUACAGACAACUCAGGAGGACGACUCACAUGGACGUUCGUUGUUCUAUCAAAAACAAAACAGGAGAACGACAAAGUUUAAGUCUCACUGGUUUUCGUCUCACGUUGUCUCCUAAACUUCUAAAAAGUACAUGGACACCUACUAGAAAAACACUGGGGGUUCACGAACGAACACAAGAAGGAGGUCCACGAAAACUGUCCAGUCCCUUUCCUGUUAUCUUCGCUGGCCAAGUUGGAAAAGAGCGACAAUCAGCGAACUGCCCAGUGUACUUGUCGGGCUGGGUAAAAGAAGUCCUUUUUGUCUGUAUGUUGACAGUUGUCAAAUAAAACAUAUGCUACUUGAAAAAAUUAAUAUGUGUUACUUCUAUAGUAAUUCAUGUGAUUUCAUAAAAUUUUG